UACGUAGGGGGCAAGCGUUGUCCGGAAUCAUUGGGCGUAAAGCGCGCGUAGGCGGCCCGGUAAGUCCGUUGUGAAAGUCAAAGGCUCAACCUUUGAACGCCGAUGGAUACUGCCGGGCUAGAGUCCGGAAGAGGCGAGUGGAAUUCCUGGUGUAGCGGUGAAAUGCUUAGAUAUGACAUAGAACACCAAUUGCGAAGGCAGCUGGCUACGCGAAUAUUGACACUGAUGCACGAAAGCGUGGGGAUCAAACAGG
rnacentral:rRNA from 1 species